AAUAUCUUCUUAACAAAAUAUGCAAGCGUAAAGAGUUACGCUACUGCGCAUGCGUAGACGUAUCUCCUUAAAUACGCAUAAUUUGUUAAAAAAAUAUUAAGCAAAGUUGUAGCCCUCAUCAAGACGAACAAUUUUUAUUAAUAUCUUCCUAACAAAAUAUGCAAGCGUAAGGAGUUACGGUAUUGCGCAUGCACAGACGUAUCUCCUUAAAGACGCAUAAUUUGUUAAAAAGAUAUU
rnacentral:miRNA from 1 species